rnacentral:rRNA from 1 species
GGGUUGUGAGGUUAAGCGACUAAGCGUACACGGUGGAUGCCCUGGCAGUCAGAGGCGAUGAAGGACGUGCUAAUCUGCGAUAAGCGCCGGUAAGGUGAUAUGAACCGUUAUAACCGGCGAUUUCCGAAUGGGGAAACCCAGUGUGAUUCGUCACACUAUCAUUAACUGAAUCCAUAGGUUAAUGAGGCGAACCGGGGGAACUGAAACAUCUAAGUACCCCGAGGAAAAGAAAUCAACCGAGAUUCCCCCAGUAGCGGCGAGCGAAUGGGGAGGAGCCCAGAGCCUGAAUCAGCAUGUGUGUUAGUGGAAGCGUCUGGAAAGGCGCGCGAUACAGGGUGACAGCCCCGUACACAAAAGCGCAUGUGCUGUGAGCUCGAUGAGUAGGGCGGGACACGUGGUAUCCUGUCUGAAUAUGGGGGGACCAUCCUCCAAGGCUAAAUACUCCUGACUGACCGAUAGUGAACCAGUACCGUGAGGGAAAGGCGAAAAGAACCCCGGCGAGGGGAGUGAAAAAGAACCUGAAACCGUGUACGUACAAGCAGUGGGAGCACAGGUUUACCUGUGUGACUGCGUACCUUUUGUAUAAUGGGUCAGCGACUUAUAUUCUGUAGCAAGGUUAACCGUAUAGGGGAGCCGUAGGGAAACCGAGUCUUAACCGGGCGUUAAGUUGCAGGGUAUAGACCCGAAACCCGGUGAUCUAGCCAUGGGCAGGUUGAAGGUUGGGUAACACUAACUGGAGGACCGAACCGACUAAUGUUGAAAAAUUAGCGGAUGACCUGUGGCUGGGGGUGAAAGGCCAAUCAAACCGGGAGAUAGCUGGUUCUCCCCGAAAGCUAUUUAGGUAGCGCCUCGUGAACUCAUCUCCGGGGGUAGAGCACUGUUUCGGCUAGGGGGCCAUCCCGGCUUACCAACCCGAUGCAAACUGCGAAUACCGGAGAAUGUUAUCACGGGAGACACACGGCGGGUGCUAACGUCCGUCGUGAAGAGGGAAACAACCCAGACCGCCAGCUAAGGUCCCAAAGUCAUGGUUAAGUGGGAAACGAUGUGGGAAGGCCCAGACAGCCAGGAUGUUGGCUUAGAAGCAGCCAUCAUUUAAAGAAAGCGUAAUAGCUCACUGGUCGAGUCGGCCUGCGCGGAAGAUGUAACGGGGCUAAACCAUGCACCGAAGCUGCGGCAGCGA